CCUACGGGGGGCUGCAGUGGGGAAUAUUGGACAAUGGGCGAAAGCCUGAUCCAGCCAUGCCGCGUGUGUGAAGAAGGCCUUCGGGUUGUAAAGCACUUUCAGUGGGGAAGAAAGCCUUGGGGCUAAUACCCUCGAGGAAGGACAUCACCCACAGAAGAAGCACCGGCUAGCUCCGUGCCAGCAGCCGCGGUAAUACGGAGGGUGCGAGCGUUAAUCGGAAUUACUGGGCGUAAAGCGCGCGUAGGCGGUCUGAUAAGCCGGUUGUGAAAGCCCCGGGCUCAACCUGGGAACGGCAUCCGGAACUGUCAGGCUAGAGUGCAGGAGAGGAAGGUAGAAUUCCCGGUGUAGCGGUGAAAUGCGUAGAGAUCGGGAGGAAUACCAGUGGCGAAGGCGGUCUUCUGGACUGACACUGACGCUGAGGUGCGAAAGCGUGGGUAGCAAACAGGAUUAGAUACCCCAGUAGUC
rnacentral:rRNA from 1 species